rfam:Dipodomys ordii contig_91075, whole genome shotgun sequence.
GGUGGUUCAGUGGUAGAGCACUUGCCUUGCAUGCAUGAAGCCCUGGGUUCAAUUCCUCAGCACCA